ACGGGUAUAGUUCAAUGGUAGAAUAGAGGUCUCCAAAACCUUUGAUCUGGGUUCGAAUCCUGGUACCCGUG
rnacentral:tRNA from 1 species